ACGCACGCUGGCGGCGUGCUUAACACCUUCCAGUCGCACGGAAAGGCCCUGCUUUUGUGGGGUGCUCGAGUGGCGAACGGGUGAGUAACACGUGAGUAACCUGCCCUUGACUUUGGGAUAACUUCAGGAAACUGGGGCUAAUACCGGAUAGGAGCUCCUGCUGCAUGGUGGGGGUUGGAAAGUUUCGGCGGUUGGGGAUGGACUCGCGGCUUAUCAGCUUGUUGGUGGGGUAGUGGCUUACCAAGGCUUUGACGGGUAGCCGGCCCGAGAGGGUGACCGGCCACAUUGGGACUGAGAUACGGCCCAGACUCCUACGGGAGGCAGCAGUGGGGAAUAUUGCACAAUGGGCGGAAGCCUGAUGCAGCAACGCCGCGUGCGGGAUGACGGCCUUCGGGUUGUAAACCGCUUUCGCCUGUGACGAAGCGUGAGUGACGGUAAUGGGUAAAGAAGCACCGGCUAACUACGUG
rnacentral:rRNA from 1 species